rnacentral:tRNA from 1 species
GCCUAGGUGGUUUAGUCCGUUAAGCAUCUGACUUCGGCUCAGAUCAUGAUCUCGUGGUCUGUGGGUUCGAGGCCCGCAUUGGGCU